AUUCAAGCGAAACGCCUGUGUUAAGCACUCUGAUUUGUUCAAAGUAAAAUCGCCAGCCACCCCCCGCAGUCGGUUAAGACCGACGAGGAGAAAACCGGCAAACAAAGCCUGGGUUAGCCAGUACGCACUCGAAAGUGGACCGACUCCCUGGCACAGAUCCAACUACGAGCUUUUUAACCGCAGCAAUAAUUCUAUGCAUUUUGAGAGCUGGAAUUACCGCGGCUGCUGGCACCAGACUUGCCCUCUCAUAGAUACUCGUUAAAGGGUUUAGAUUGUACCCAUUCCGAUGACCGGCCUCGUAGAGAACGGUCUCGUUAUUUUUCGUCACUACCUCCUCAAUGUUCUGAGAGUGGGUAAUUUGCGCGCCUGCUGCCAUCCUUAGACGUAGUGGCCA
rnacentral:rRNA from 1 species